rnacentral:rRNA from 1 species
GCCUAAAGGGGCCGUAGCUUGAUAAUAGGGUCCCUUGAGAAAUCCGCCGGCUUAACUGGCGGGCGUUCAGGGGAAACUUGUUUUCUAGGGACCGGGAGAGGUGAGGGGUACUGCCGGGGUAGGAGUGAAAUCCUGUAAUCCCGGUGGGGCCACCUAUGGCGAAGGCAUCUCACCAGAACGGGUCCGACAGUGAGGGACGAAAGCUGGGGGAGCAAACCGGAUUAGAUACCCGGGUAGUCCCAGCUGUAAACUAUGUGCGUUAGGUGUGUCAGUGACCACGUGUCACUGAGGUGCCGAAGGGAAACCGUGAAACGCACCGCCUGGGGAGUACGGUCGCAAGGCUGAAACUUAAAGGAAUUGGCGGGGGAGCACCACAACGGGUGGAGCCUGCGGUUUAAUCGGACUCAACGCCGGGAAUCUCACCGGAUAAGACAGUUGAAUGAUAGUCGGGAUGAAGACUCUACUUGACUAGCUGAGAGGAGGUGCAUGGCCGUCGUCAGUUCGUACUGUGAAGCAUCCUGUUUAGUCAGGCAACGAGCGAGACCCACGCGAGCAGUUGCCAGCUUGACCUUCGGGUUGAUGGGGACACUGCUCGGACCGCCUCUGCUGAAGGGGAGGAAGGACUGGGCAACGGUAGGUCAGCAUGCCCCGAAUUAUCCGGGCUACACGCGGGCUACAAUGGACAGGACAAUGAGUUUCGACACCGAGAGGUGAGGAUAAUCUUCUAACCCUGUCCCAAGUUCGGAUUGCGGGUUGUAACUCACCCGCAUGAAGCUGGAAUCCGUAGUAAUCGCGUUUCAACAUACCGCGGUGAAUAUGUCCCUGCUCCUUGCACACACCGCCCG